CAUUGUAGAAAACUUGGAAAAUAGAGAAAACGCCUCCAAAUGAAAAUAAAAACACCUGAUAGUUGUAUAACAUAGAAAGAAUUUGGAUUUAUUGCCUUUCAGUAUUUCUGUGUGCUUAUGUGUAUGUGCAUUUUUAUGUAAGUGGGCUCAACUUUGUGGAACAUUUUGAAUCCUGACUUUUUUCUGUAACAGUAACAUAAACAUGAUAUUUAAUGGUCAAGUUGUAAUUCUUGAUGUGGCUCUAUCUCAACUUAAUUUCACAAUCUCCCUGUAGGUUUUUCUGCUGUGCUGAUUGUGUUGGUGGUAGUUUAUUGUGUUAGGUAAGCAGUGUGCGUUAAAGAGCAUCUUUGAGCAUGAACGUUUUUUCCAUCUUCCUGAUGGUUUCAUCAAGUUAGCAUCCUUUAUGGGAACUACUGUGCCUUUUAAAGGACCACUGUACAUAUUGCUAGAUUGCUUCCCAAGAAAGAUGUAUCUUUCCAGCUCUAAUAUUUCAGAUUAUGCUUCUUGCUGCAGUUGAGUCAAUACUGACCUCUUUUUUUUUUUUAAAGACUUCCCUAAUCAGGAAAAAAUAAUGUAUUAUCUGUUACAUUUAAUUCCCAUCCACACAUUUAAAAUUUAACUUUUUUAUGGUGAUAAAUGCUUGGUAACAUCAUUUUUCUUCCCUUUAGUUUCUUUUCCUUUCAUUUUGCUUCUCCUCUUCUCUCACUCUACCUAAAUUCCUUUCAAACUUUUCUCUCCUUUUCUAUGGAAUCUCUUUCUACUUUUCAGUCUACUUUUGCAAAUCCAUCCCCUUCCACCAUCCCAACCAGUCUCGCUUUAGCAAGAUUUCUCUGCUAAUCCCACCCACACAUCUGGCAAAUUUCACUUCCAUCUCUGUACAGGUUUCCACCCCUGGACCUGGUAUCCCAGGCCUUUCUCCUAUCCUUUAAGACAGCAGGUUCUGUCUGAGAAAGUGCCCCUGCCCCUGACUACAUUAGCAUGUAGCAAUCUCCUCUCCAUCUGUCUUGCAGUGCUCAUUUGGCGCUUGUCACAUGCUAAUUUAUAUCUGUGGUUAAAUCGUCAUAUGUGUUUCAUCGCCCUGUGUGGACUGCCAAGCCUUGCAAGCACUGAUGCUGGUUAGUACUCUCUGAAGUCCCUCCCCACCUUGUGUGCCCCAAACAUGUACCUAGAACAGUUCCCAAAUCCUGGAAGAACUGAGUGCUCAGCAAAAUGUUGUUUGAUCACCCUGGUGGUUCUUUUUCCAUCUGGUCUCCAUUUCCUUUCUUCUUGACUUUCUCAUUCAGUGAUAGUCACUUGGUAUAUUCAUUUUGGAAGCCGGGUUCCUCACUUGCCCCCCAUUUUGAAACAUUACCCUGUGCCCUCUUCAUAAUAUGUCAUGUUCAACCACCAUAGAAUCUUUGAGCCUUCAGAAAUUGAUUAUCUCAUUUUCUCAUAUCAUUUCUCAUUGUAUGGUUUUGUUUUCUUGGCAGACUAGUCAAUCUUACUUUCCUUUCAUACACUUGCUACCACUCCUCUUCUCUGCCAACCCCUCAUGUUUUAUUAUAACCCAGACUUGGCUCCUCUAAGGUAUGGGGUUCUCCCCACAUUCUAGAUAGGGGACCAGGUGUACAUGUGUGAAGAAUUUGGAGAUAAAGCACUGAGGAAUGACAUAGGCACUCUUAAUGCACUAGGGAGAGACCUGGAGAAGGAUGGAUGUGAGCUGGUUUACUCAAAGGCAUUAUAGAUACAGGUGGGACUUAUGAAGGUUGAAGAAUGGGUGAGAUUUACAUGGGACACAGGGAAAGAGAGGGUAUUUAAGAAUUGAAACAAGAAUAAACGGAGUCCCAGGAACUGCUGGUGGUAGUAUUGGUGGUGGUAUUUGGUAGGCAGGAACCUGGUAUGUUAGUGGGAAAAGGGGGUAAUAAGGACACUUAGGCUCAAAAUCGACAAGAGGGGGACAUAGAGAGAAAUCAUUCCGUGCUCAGGUGUGGAAGCCUACCAUGAAUACCUAGAUGAUCUCGCUAGACCUGUUACACGUUUUUUCUUUAGAUUCCUCCCUGCUGCUGCCCCUCCUUUCUUUCCCAUCAUGGCUCAGCAGUAAUGAAUCCGACUAGUAUCCAUGAGGACAUGGGUUCAAUCCCUGUCCUCGCUCAGUGGGUUAAGGAUACAGCCUUACCGUGAGCUGUGGUGUAGGUUGCAGACACAGCUCAGAUCCCACAUUGCUGUGGCUGUGGUGUAUGCCGGCAGCUGCAGCUCUAAUUUGACCCCUAGCCUGGGAACUUUCAUAUNNNNNNNNNNNNNNNNNNNNNNNNNNNNNNNNNNNAAAAAAAAAAAAAAAAAUACAGAGGAAUGCUCCUGAAGAGAGUUCCCAUUGUGGCCUGGCAAUAAUGAACCCGACUAGUAUCCAUGAGGACAUGGGUUCAAUCCCUGACCUCACUCGUUGGAUAAAGGAUCCAGUGUUGCUGUGAGCUGUGGUGUAGGUCGAAGACAAGGCUUGGAUCCUGUGUUGCUGUGUGGCUGUGGCAUAGGCCAGAGGCUAUAGCUCCAAUUCAGCCGCAGCCUGGGAACCUCUAUAUGCUGCCCU
rnacentral:lncRNA from 1 species